AGCAGGCCAGGUUUGGAGCGGAGCCUCUGCAGUGACUCACAGAGCUGUUGGCUUGAUUGAGGAAGUCCGUUAGUGACUCCCAUCCUCGACACUAUAGACCCCCGAGCGACCGAGGAGAGAGAGACAGACAGGCAGGAAGAGAGACAGACAGAUGGUGAGACGGGAGGGAUAAACUAAAGGAAAGGCUGAGUUUGAAGUCUGAGAGGGUUGAGUUGACGACGGACGCAAGACGGAGAAGAUAGGACGGAACAAACAAGGACUCGUUCUCCGCUCUGGAUAUUCUGUGAAAUCUUCCUGAAAAAGAAGUGAAUGUGACCUCCGCUCUUCUACACCUCAGCCUCAGGAUUAUGUUGGUGCGUGGUCGCUCUGCGGAUCUGAAGGAGGAUCAAAAUGUUGAAAUGUAAAGUUCAAAGUUCUCUCUGCUGCCUGUGUUUCACCUCGCUGCUGCUGCUCCAGAGUCUGAGCAGAUCAGCUCCCACAGAGAACCAGACCCUCCCCUGUAGUAUCUCUGUGUCUGAACCUUUACCUGAGCUGGACUCCAUCUCUCUGACCGUGAGCACACCUGGACACGACUGCUCCUUCACCGUGACGUCACCUGACACCGGAGCAGAUGGCGCCGAGUGCAGACUGAGAAAGAGGAGA